GCAUCAGUGGUUUAGUGGUAAAAUCCAUCGUUGCCAUUCUUCGAAAGACAUUCGAUGGGCCCCGUGUUCGAUUCACGGCUGAUGCA
rnacentral:tRNA from 2 species